GCCAGGAUCUCCCCUAAGGAGCCUGGAACUCCCCGUAGAGCCGGGAUCUCCCUUGUGGAGCCGGGAUCUCCCCUGAGGAGCCUGGAACUCCCCGUGGAGCCGGGAUCUCCCCUGAGGAGCCUGGAAUUCCCCUGUAGAGCCGGGAUUUCCUUGUGGAGCCAGGAUCUCCUCUGAGGAGCCGGACUCUCCUCUGAGGAGCCAGGAUCUCCCCCGUGGAACCGGGAUCUCCCUGUGGAGCAGCACUGAGGGGAUGAUAGUGGCGCAGGUGGCGUGCCACUGACGUUGAAUUUGUGCCAUUGAAUGUAACCAGACUCCAGGGUUGAAAACGAGGGGAAAGCAAUUAGGCAGGUUUUACAGCCAGUUGUCUCCUAAUGUUCUGGAAUGCCCUGCUGCAGACAUCCACAGGAGACUUCUCAGCACACACAGUCUCGCAGGUCACCCUGCCAGCAAUGACAUGGAGGUAACUUAUCACUAUGAGAUGGAUCAUCAUCUUCAUGGCUUGAUUUCACCCAUUCCUCUCAUCAGGUAAAGGCAGGAAUAACUUUGUCCCGGGGCUUGCAGUACUGCAACCCGUUCGUGAGAACCUGGUCACUGUGGGGAUGGAGAGAGACCCCAGGCAACAGAACAGUGCCCUGUUCUCACUUCUGCAUUUUCCUUUGAUAAAGAGGGCCCUCAACACUGGUGGCUUCAGGCUUCUGAUCUGCCCCUGUCAUGCCAAAUUGCAAUGAAUAUAAUGCAAAAUUAUCAAUCAAAGGUAAAAUAAACACCAACAAACUGCA